rnacentral:lncRNA from 1 species
UCACAGGAGGAAGAAAUCAUAUAUUAUAUAAAAUUGUUGGAUUACAACAGUGGAUAUUACAGGAGGAACAUCAUCCAAAUGUGAUGCAUAAUCUAAAUAUUUUCUUGACAACAAAAUGAAAACCAAAAGCAUCCCUCAACAUCACUACAACUUAACUAAAACUUAACAGAGGAACAUCAUUCCUACAACUUAACUAAAAUUGAAAGCAUCCAGCAUCAUAAUCAUCAUCAUUAUCAUCAUCAGUAUAUUUGCCACAUACCCAUAUAAUCAUCCAUUUAUCUUUUGAACCUACAAACAAAAAGCAAAAUGACUGUUAACACACAAUGCAUUAGCAAAAAACCAAAAAAAAACGAAUAACUUUCUGUGGUAAUGUAAGUGUAAUUAGAGAACGUGUAAUACAUUUUGAACAUCUCACAACGGGUCCUGUUAUGUCAUGGAUUCAGAUGAAAAAAAAGAUGGCCACUAUGGGAUGAUAAAACUGGAAACUCAAACUAAAAUAUUCCAAGGAAUAUUUAGAAGGGACCAUGUAUCUAUGUUUCUGUAGAAAGACGCGUUUUGGCUCCUGUAUAUGGAAUGAACACUUAAAAGGAGGACAUUUAUUUUGUUUUGGUGAUAUACAGAAGAUCCAUUGAAAUGUUCUAUAGACAACACAAAAGAGAUGACUGGUUUUUCCGUUUGGUCUACCAUUUUUACACCAUAAAAUGCGAGGCAGACAACCUGGAUUUCUGGUUCAUUUAUGUUGAAGAGUUUCCAAAGAAACCGAUUGUAAGACUUAACAAAUGCAUAUGUACGCAUAUGAAAUACAUGGUAUACAUACUCAUCUAGAAGAUAUAUUUUUCGCGCGUGAUACAUACAUGUAGCUUAAUUGUUUCCCUUUUAAAUAGUAUAUCAAACUCAUGGAUUAAUUAAUAGAUUUAUUUCGCUCGUACUGAUUUGAGAUGGUUUUGCUCUCUUUCGUAUACGGUCAAAACAAAAACAUAGAUUUAGAGCUUAAAAAAACAUAGAUCAUAUACUACACAUACCAAUAUCAAAAAAUGCGUGGCUGUGCAUAUACGUAUUGUAAGCAUCAUUAAUCCUCUUUUAGCUUAGCCCCACUGAAACUAAUCAUAUGAUCCAUGCUCUCCAAACUUAUAUGAGCUCCUCAUCCAUGCAUCAUGCAAAAAGGUGUAAAGUAGUAAAUAAGAUAUUGUCCUAGAAAUCAAACCUCUAGUCCAGUACGUGCGUGUAUAAAAUAGAACAGUAUGAAGCCAAUACCUACACACCUGGAGGCACGGGAUGCAGCCAAAGCGCAGAUGAGAAGUUCAUUCAGCCAUUAUACGUCCUCGGUCGGGGCUCUCAACUUGAUUAUCCUCUUCAUCGCCUGGGCUUUCGUCAGGUGAUCUGUAAUGAUGUGCUCAGUGAGCUUCCUUUUUUUGUUACUGACCUUUUCCUAUUAUGUGAAAAGGAAGAAUUGUG